GGGGGAAGAAGAAAAGAGGAUGCCAGUCCUUGUUCCUAGGCCAAGACCUGAGCCCUGUAAUAUUAAUAUUUGGAUCUAAAAUCAGCCUUCCAACAGCAACAUGAAGUUGGCAGCCUUCCUCCUCCUGUGAUCCUCAUCAUCUUCAGCCUAGAGGUACAAGAGCUUCAGGCUGCAGGAGACCGGCUUUUGGGUACCUGCGUCGAGCUCUGCACAGGUGACUGGGACUGCAACCCCGGAGACCACUGUGUCAGCAAUGGGUGUGGCCAUGAGUGUGUUGCAGGGUAAGGACAGGUAAAAACACCAGGCCCUCCCUGCUUUCUGAAACGUUGUUCAGUCUAGAUGAAGAGUUAUCUUAAGGAUCAUCUUUCCCUAAGAUCGUCAUCCCUUCCUGGAGUUCCUAUCUUCCAAGAUGUGACUGUCUGGAGUUCCUUGACUAGGAAGAUGGAUGAAAACAGCAAGCCUGUGGAUGGAGACUACAGGGGAUAUGGGAGGCAGGGAAGAGGGGUUGUUUCUUUUAAUAAAUCAUCAUUGUUAAAAGCACUCAUACUAUUUGAGUUAUUUGGUUAAAGGUGAGGAGGAGGGGGAGGAGGACAGAUGACAU
rnacentral:lncRNA from 1 species